UACGUAGAAGACUAGUGUUAUUCAUCUUUAAUAGGUUUAAAGGGUACCUAGACGGUAGUAAUUAGUCUUAAACAGGAUACGAUUAUACUAGAGUUAUAUAUGAGGAGGUGAGUAUUUAUGCAGUAGAGUUGAAAUUCGUUGAUAGCAUAACGACUGGUAACGGCGAAAGCAACCUUUUAUCUAAUAACUGACGUUGAGGGACGAAGGCUCGGGUAACGAACAGG
rnacentral:rRNA from 1 species